rnacentral:rRNA from 1 species
GACGAACGCUGGCGGCGUGCCUAAUACAUGCAAGUCGAACGCAGUGGGGACGGGUGAGGAACACGUGGGUAACCUCCCAUCGGAGGGGAUAACACUGGGAAACAGGUGCUAAAACGAUACGGGUGGAUGGACCCGCGGUGCAUUGGCUAGUUUGUGAGGUAACGGCUCACCAAGGCCACGAUGCAUGGCCUACCGGAGAGGGUGAGCGGCCCCCCUGGGACGGAGCCACGACCCCGACUACUACGGGAGGCAGCAGUAGGGAAUCUUCGGCAGUGGACGAAACUCUGGCCGGGCACAGCCGCGUGACUGGAGAAGGUUAUCGGCUCGUAAACCUCUGUUGUUAGUGAAGCGGUAUCUAACCAGAAAGCCACGGCUAACUCCGUGCCAGCAGCCGCGGUAAUAC